AGAGUUUGAUCCUGGCUCAGGACGAACGCUGGCGGCGUGCCUAACACAUGCAAGUCGAACGAAGAUACUUAAUGAAGCUUGCGAUUUAAGUAUUUUAGUGGCGGACGGGUGAGUAACGCGUGGGUGAUCUGCCCAUAAGUGGGGAAUAACAGUUGGAAACGACUGCUAAUACCGCAUAUGCUGCGCAAGCAGUAAAGGAGGCCUCUGAAUAUGCUUCCGCUUAUGGAUGAGCCCGCGUCUGAUUAGCUAGUUGGUGGGGUAAAGGCCUACCAAGGCGACGAUCAGUAGCCGGCCUGAGAGGGUGAACGGCCACACUGGGACUGAGACACGGCCCAGA
rnacentral:rRNA from 1 species